rnacentral:rRNA from 1 species
UACGAAGGGGGCUAACGUUGCUCGGAAUCACUGGGCGUAAAGGGUGCGUAGGCGGGUCUUUAAGUCAGGGGUGAAAUCCUGGAGCUCAACUCCAGAACUGCCUUUGAUACUGAAGAUCUUGAGUUCGGGAGAGGUGAGUGGAACUGCGAGUGUAGAGGUGAAAUUCGUAGAUAUUCGCAAGAACACCAGUGGCGAAGGCGGCUCACUGGCCCGAUACUGACGCUGAGGCACGAAAGCGUGGGGAGCAAACAGG